rnacentral:rRNA from 1 species
GAUGAACGCUGGCGGCGUGCCUAAUACAUGCAAGUCGAGCGAACAGACGAGGAGCUUGCUCCUCUGACGUUAGCGGCGGACGGGUGAGUAACACGUGGAUAACCUACCUAUAAGACUGGGAUAACUUCGGGAAACCGGAGCUAAUACCGGAUAAUAUAUUGAACCGCAUGGUUCAAUAGUGAAAGACGGUUUUGCUGUCACUUAUAGAUGGAUCCGCGCCGCAUUAGCUAGUUGGUAAGGUAACGGCUUACCAAGGCAACGAUGCGUAGCCGACCUGAGAGGGUGAUAGGCCACACUGGAACGGAGACACGGUCAAGACUACUACGGGAGGCAGCAGUAGGGAAUCUUCCGCAAUGGGCGAAAGCCUGACGGAGCAACGCCGAGUGAGUGAUGAAGGUCUUCGGAUCGUAAAACUCUGUUAUUAGGGAAGAACAAAUGUGUAAGUAACUAUGCACGUCUUGACGGUACCUAAUCAGAAAGCCACGGCUAACUACGUG